rnacentral:siRNA from 1 species
ACGGCACUAUCGCGGGGCAAGCA